rnacentral:rRNA from 1 species
AUAUCAAUAAGCGGAGGAAAAGAAACCAACAGGGAUUGCCUCAGUAACGGCGAGUGAAGCGGCAACAGCUCAAAUUUGAAAUCUGGCCUCUCGGGGUCCGAGUUGUAAUUUGUAGAGGAUGUUUCGGGUACCGCUCCGGUUUAAAUUUCUUGGAACAGAAUGUCAGAGAGGGUGAGAAUCCCGUCUUGGACCGGUGGUAGGGCCUAUGUGAAACUCCUUCGACGAGUCGAGUUGUUUGGGAAUGCAGCUCAAAAUGGGUGGUAAAUUUCAUCUAAAGCUAAAUAUUGGCCAGAGACCGAUAGCGCACAAGUAGAGUGAUCGAAAGAUGAAAAGCACUUUGAAAAGAGAGUUAAACAGUAUGUGAAAUUGUUGAAAGGGAAGCGCUUGCAACCAGACUUGCGCGCGGUGGUUCCCCCUUCCUUUUGGUUGGGUUAUUCCAUCGUGUCCAGGCCAACAUCGGUUUCGGGGGUCGGUUAAAGGCUCUGGGAAUGUAUCUACCCUUCGGGCGUAGACUUAUAGCCCAGAGUGUCAUGCGACCUCCCGGGACCGAGGAACGCGCUUCGGCUCGGAUGUUGGCGUAAUGGUUGUCAGCGA